rnacentral:rRNA from 1 species
UACGUAGGGUGCGAGCGUUGUCCGGAAUUAUUGGGCGUAAAGGGCUCGUAGGCGGUUUGUCGCGUCGGGAGUGAAAUCAUCUGGCUUAACUGGGUGCUUGCUUUCGAUACGGGCAGACUAGAGGUAUGCAGGGGGAGAACGGAAUUCCUGGUGUAGCGGUGAAAUGCGCAGAUAUCAGGAGGAACACCGGUGGCGAAGGCGGUUCUCUGGGCAUGAUCUGACGCUGAGGCGCGAAAGCGUGGGGAGCAAACAGG